rnacentral:misc_RNA from 1 species
GUUCUGUUGCCCUGAUCAUUGGCUAUGAUCUCAACCCGGUCGUUCUGCCACACACCCACGCAGCUGUAGGUGGUGCCAAGAUCGAUACCAAUGGCCUUGCCUUCAGUUUUUGGCGCCAUUGAAGAAAAGAUAUAAGUAUAACAAGAAAUCAAGAAACAAAAAAAAAAAACUUGGCAGUAAUCAAGAAAACAAGCUAAUCAAAGAAUCAAGAACUCUUGAUUAAAAGAUAGAAAGCUUUGUUUUGGUUGGCUUUUGAGGUGGCUUUCGUAUUUCGGAU